GGGGAUGUCAUGGGUUCGACAUGAUUAAUGAUUAUUCAAAUGCAGUGGGGUAAUGCCCCUUAUAGCAUGAGAUCUAAUUAAAUGCAGAUCACAAUCUAGGUAAUGUUAAUCUAAACCAAUCAUUUAUGAUUAAUCAAUUAUCAAAUCAAGCUAAUUUAAAUUUAAAUAUUUAAUUUUAGCGGGAUAUGAGUUAAAGUUUUAUAUUUUUACUUUAGUUCAUUAAUAUAAAAAUAUAUGUUUAUAUGAUGCUAAUAAUAUAAAUGAAUUUAAUUUUAGCUAUCUCUAAUGAUGGACGUUUACAUUCAGAUAUACAUUAGAUGAAGAUUACAACUGUAAACUAAACUGUAGAUUUUGCUUAUGAUUUAAUUGUGGAAAUGGGUUCAAUUCCCAUCAUCUCCACCA
rnacentral:tmRNA from 1 species